rnacentral:misc_RNA from 1 species
GGCACGCCCGAAGUCGUUACUCCAACCCUUGUGGAGGAGGACGUCGAAGGUGGGGCUGAUGACUGGGGUGAAGUCGUAACAAGGUAGCCGUACCGGAAGGUGCGGCUGGAUCACCUCCUAACAGGGAGACAACUCAGACGUUGAUGCUUGACCAAAUUUGAUGUUAAGCCAGUGUCCUGUCACUCUAGGUCGAUCGGUACCUCAGCUUUGAGCUUGAGAACGGUGGUGAAGCGAAGCAGAAGUCAGCAGGGCAACCAGCUGAUGGAUGUAAUGCGAAUCUAUUGUUGCUCAAGACUCAAUUUUCAGUUCCUAAACGUUGUCUAGGUCACCCCAUAGCGGGUUUCACCUCCUGGGCCAUUAGCUCAGGUGGUUAGA